UUAAGUCCCGCAACGAGCGCAACCCUUGUUCCAUGUUGCCAGCACGUAAUGGUGGGGACUCAUGGGAGACUGCCGGGGUCAACUCGGAGGAAGGUGGGGAUGACGUCAAGUCAUCAUGCCCCUUAUGUCUUGGGCUGCAAACAUGCUACAAUGGCCGGUACAAUGGGCGUGCGAUACCGUAAGGUGGAGCGAAUCCCUAAAAGCCGGUCUCAGUUCGGAUUGGGGUCUGCAACUCGACCCCAUGAAGGUGGAGUCGCUAGUAAUCGCGGAUCAGCAACGCCGCGGUGAAUACGUUCCCGGGCCUUGUACACACCGCCCGUCACGUCAUGAAAGUCGGCAACACCCGAAACUUGCGGCCUAACCCCUUGUGGGAGGGAGUG
rnacentral:rRNA from 1 species